rnacentral:lncRNA from 1 species
GACAAUAGUUUGUGUCGCACUCCGCACAAUCUACACGUUGCAAACAAUCACACCAAUCAAUCACCACAAUCACAUAACACCAAAAAGAUCAUCGGCAAUAAAACAACUUGUUUAAAACCAAAGCAUAAAUAGCAUGGCAGCAGGUAUAAAAUCAACUACAUGCUGAUACGAUGACAACGCAAAAAGAAUUAACUAAACCGGAUGAACGGUUUGCAAAAUAUGGCCUCCGGUAGGCUUAAAAUAAUCUGUUUUAACAAAAAAAUAAAUUUUCGUAAAACUGAAAACUACUGGUUCUAACAUGUUCUACUCAUCAAUACGAGAUCACAGGAAAAAGAAUUUCCUGAAUCGGAGUUACGAGUAAAAAGAUAAACGCGUUUCAAAAUUAUACCGAGAAUCUGACAGAGCUAAAACAGAUUAAAAACAGAUUGAAUUUCGUCCUGAAGCUGUUCAUCAGGACUUGAUGAAUCGCUCGUGCGUGCGUUCUCACCACGAACAACGGGGAAAAACGGAACCGUCUCGGUGUGGCUCCUCCGAUGGUGCUCUGGUGGCGGUCGAACGGACUCCGGUGACGGCGGCUCCGCGAACUCCGACGAACACGGACGAACUCGGACGUGCGCGUCGUUGCUCCGUGGUGCUCGAGGCUACUGCGUGUGCGAGGCGGUGCGCUGUGCGUGCGAGACGGCGGGGCGAAUCGGGAGCAGGGGUUUCUGUUCUUGGGGCUUCGGUCCCUGGGACUUAU